UACAUGGGGUGCAAACGUUGCUCGGAAUCAUUGGGCGUAAAGCGCGUGUAGGCGGCCCUGCAAGUCGGAUGUGAAAUCCCACGGCUCAACCGUGGAAGUGCAUUCGAAACUGCAGGGCUAGAGUCCUGGAGAGGAAGGUGGAAUGCUUGGUGUAGAGGUGAAAUUCGUAGAUAUCAAGCGGAACACCGGUGGCGAAGGCGGGCUCUGGGCGGA
rnacentral:rRNA from 1 species